GGGUGCACCGAAAUUUCGGUCGCCGAAAAUUUCGGCCGAAAAUGGCAUUAUCGGUUUCGGGCCGAAAUAAAAAAAUCCAGCCGAAAAUGUAAACCGAAAAUGAAUGUCAACCGCGCCCCUUUCAUCUGUGCGCUAGCGCUUGGGUUUCACUCAGCCUCACGGUGAUCAGUCGUCACACACCCCUCCCCUUCGUGCUCAAGCAGGUUUCACUCAGGGUCCAGCUGUUUGCACGCGUCUGCAAAGAUUAAGAAUGUCUUGAUGUGUAAACUUUAGAGAGAGUCGCGCUAUGUGUCUCUUACUGUAAUCCAUUAACGUACAUUUGGCGAAUAAAGCAAUGAAACACAACGUAACGUUUUUAUGUGGAGCGACUGUUGCGCUGUUUGGGAUUCACCAUCAGUCUCUGUAUAUGCAUGCGUUUAAGUGCCCUUAAAGCCGAAAGUAUACUAGGGACGUCCGCGUAUGCGCGCCAUCAUUUUCCCCAAAAUUUGAGACCGCACGGACAGUGCGCGUACAGUCCGCGUACAACAUCGCAUGCGCGUGAAAAUAUUUAGACAGGACACUCCACUACAAACAAUUAUACAAAGGAAAUAGACAGCAUCUGCAUUUGCACACAUACUAUCGUUUUUCUUCUUUAAUUUUAUUUCAUCCAUAAACAGAAAGCUGUGGAGCAUGUUUGUUACCAUAUUGUUUGAUUCCUGUUCUUUGUUGUCUUCUUGUUUGUUCUAAACUGUGUUUGCAAUGGUGGAUCGGUUUCUUUUCUUCACCUAUCCUAAUGUUUUAAUGUACUGUAAAUGUCUCCAAAUCAGUGCUGCACUAGAGUAAUAAUUUGAAUAGAGACGCGUUUAAAAAAAAACAAGCAAACAUAAAUUCUCUCUGUUAUUGACAGGGCACAUAUAAACAAAAUUCUCACAGUAUUCUUUUUCUAAUAAAAACAUUUAUGUCUGUAUAGAUUACAGUCAGAUUAACCUACUGAAGUCUGUGUCAUUAAUGUUGAUCAAACAACCCAUGACAAAGAGACAAAUAGCUCUAAAAAAUAAUAAUAUAUUUAAUUUAUUGUGUUAUGAUUAAUUUAAUUUGAUUUCUGUACCUAAUGCUAAUUUCAGACCUUAUUAAUGUACAACUUUGUUCUCUUUUAUAAAUGUUUGCAAUUUCUUUAUUGUUUAUUAGAUUUUU